AACUUGCAUUUUGUGGAAACCAAAUUAUGCCCAGAUGUAUUUCAGAUUUCAAAGCUCUGUGACUUUGUUUCCCGAAAAAAAAUAAAAAAUACUAGGCGACCAUUGCAUCUAGAACUCAAUAGUCCCAGCGUUAAAUUUAAGACACACACACACACACACACACACACACACACACACACACACACAUAUAUAUAUAUAUAUAUAUAUAUAUAUAUAUAUAUAUAUAUGUAUAUAUAUAUAUGUAUGUGUGUGUGUGUGCGCGCGCGCACCAUGAAUGUAUACGUGUGAGUGACUGUAAUCAAGGAAAUAUCACAGGCGGGUUGUGUAUUCUUGAUGCUGGAAUUCACCCAAAGCAAGCGAUAAUGAUUGCUAGCUAAAUUGAGGGCGCCCGUGUUCUUUUCUUACGCUUAUGGUCUACAGUUUUGCGCAGAAACAAUUCAAAACGUUUCCCAACGGACGAUAAUGUAAUUGAAAUGAGUUAGUUGGUGAAUGAAAUUACUGUAGUAAAAUGCGGUUUUUUUUUUUCUUAAACGAAUCGCCCUUUGUGACCUAAUGAACACCUUAUGAUGUCAUCACUAGCAGUCUAGCAGCACGGCAUCAGAAAAAAGAAAACAAAUAACCGGCAAAGUUAUUCGAGUAUUCAUGACGACAGGUGGCAGUAGAAAAACUGCUAGAUUAACUGAUUUUCCCCUUCCUUUCUAGCAUGUUUACUGGUAACAGCUGCAGCGUUUUUGCUGCUCGUGUAGAAUGCACCUAUUAGGUAACAUUCUUUACUAAACUUUCAAACGGAAUGGAAGGUGUAAAUUAAGAAAAUAGCCUUACAGUAGACCAUUGUCUGUGUUACAUACUAGACAAAAGCAUUCCGAGUGAAAAGUUUGUAGCAGAAACUCACAUAGACUGCGUGCGCGUGCAGAGGUUUCAACUUUUCUUUUUUGCGCUAUCACCAUAUUUUUACCUUUUCUUUUAUAGCACUUGAGAUCCCCAUUGGAGAUUGGGAAGAAGAGUUGCCAAUAAAUGCUAUUAAUCUUUGAUCCUACUACUUCAAACUGCGAUUUAAUUGUACUAGAUUCUUCAUCAUGAACAAUUAUAACAGUUCUUGGUAUGAUUACAAGAGUCGGAAGUAAUUCAAAUCAUGGUAUCUUAGAACGAGUGGCAACUCGGAAUUUUCACGCGAAAAGACCAGAUGUGCGGAUAAGUUAAGUCCUACUGUCAACCUGUAAUAGACCCCUCCCCGUCCUCAACUUCAGACUGUAUUCUUACUUGAUUGGGCUUGAUGUUUUCGUCGUCGGUCGUACGUAGUAGUAAGGUUCGUUGUGCCAGCUUUCAUGUUGGAGCCAUGAUAAAGCAAAAUCUAAGGAUUCGAAGCAACUUUUAAAAGGCCUGGCAGUGAAGCCCAAGACCACCCCGCCACCACGCAAGAGAUAUAAGUUCAUGCCGCCUCCCACCUCAUAUACUUACCGUGAAUCACGGUUUGUGGUUCUCUCUUCAAGAAAAAAUCAACGCUGAUGGAUUUUAGCUUCAAGCUUUCCGUAAG